CUUUGUAUUCACCUUUUUUAUAGCACCAAUCACAUUGUGUUUUAUUGGUUGUUUGCACGGGUGUCUCCUCUUAAGCAGACAAUUCAUCUGUUCCACAAACACUUGUCAAGCACCAGCCUUUGCCAGGUGUUGGGAAACAUGAGGAACAGCACAGGCAGGGUUCUGGCCCUGAUGGAGCCAAGUGGGAGGAUGGAUGGCCUAGACAACGCCAGGCACAAAGUAGGCCCACAUCAUAUGCUUAUGGAAUAGAAUUGAGGAUGUGGUUAUUUGGAGAGGUCAGGCAGGGAAGGGGGUUGAUGUUUUAUUGUUAUCAUACAUAAAGAGAGUCUAGAACUGGGAGGGAAGAAAAGCAACCAGAAACCAAGAAAAUCAAGUUGGCCAAGGUGAGCUGGGGGAGGAGCCCAGCAGGUCAGACCACUGUGAGAAUAGCAUUAAUGAGGAGCCUGCCAUCCACAGGGCUCAUCCAAGGCUGAGGCUGCACAUUCUCUGCCAGCUGUUUAGAACUGCCAUCACUGUGGACAGACACAGGUCUCAGAUCUGUGGUUGCCAAUGCUGGGGGAGGGAGAACAGUUAUCAGGAGGGUGUGCAAGGAGCCACAGUGGCAGGGGGGUCCUGGAGCCGACUUUAUUAAUUGAGGGGAAUGUAAUGCACCUGAUUUCUUCUAAUCACACAGGUAAAUGGAGGGAAACCAUCCCAGAGUAAGCACUAAAGCAGCAAGGAAGAAGUAGCACAGAUUGGCGUUCUCCUCUGUAUGGAUGGAGACAGUGAGUGCUGCUAGGGGAGGAAGGCCAGUCUGCUCCUUGGAAGUGAUUCUGGACAAGAACCAGCUCUUAAAGGCCAGGAUGCAUCCUUUUGAAAGAAAAUACAAAGGUAUAUCUGGAAUAAAAGCCUUCAUCCCUAGCCAGCAGGAAUGGUGA
rnacentral:lncRNA from 1 species